UACGUAGGGUCCGAGCGUUGUCCGGAAUUAUUGGGCGUAAAGGGCUCGUAGGCGGUUUGUCGCGUCGGGAGUGAAAUCCACUGGCUUAACUGGUGGCUUGCUUUCGAUACGGGCAGACUGGAGGUAUGCAGGGGGAGAACGGAAUUCCCUGGUGUAGCGGUGAAAUGCGCAGAUAUCAGGAGGAACACCGGUGGCGAAGGCGGUCUCUGGGCCGUAACUGACGCUGAGGAGCGAAAGCAUGGGGGAGCGAACAGG
rnacentral:rRNA from 1 species